GUCCACGCUGUAAACGAUGAGCGCUAGGUUGUUUGUGGGUGUUGACCCCCGCAGUGCCGCAGCUAACGCAUUAAGCGCUCCGCCUGGGAAGUACGGCCGCAAGGCUAAAACUCAAAGGAAUUGACGGGGGCCCCGCACAAGCGGUGGAGCAUGUGGUUUAAUUCGACGCAACGCGCAGAACCUUACCUGGUCUUGACAUCCUCGGAAUCCUUCAGAGAUGAGGGAGUGCCCGCAAGGGGAACCGAGAGACAGGUGCUGCAUGGCUGUCGU
rnacentral:rRNA from 1 species